GUCCUUUCUCUAAAGGCAAGUUUGACAAUGGCUUCUCCUCCUCUACAAGCCUAGAAUUUGCCUGACUGAAAUCCCAACCAUGUGCUUGUUUCCCCUCUCCUUCUGACCCUCUUUCUUCCCUUCACUUCUAGGCCACACCUCCUUCCCUUUUCUCUCCUAGGAAAGGAGGAGAUGAAGGGUGCUGCACAUGUUUGUCUCUCUGUCAGGUACUUCUUGACAGUGAAGAAGGAGGCCGAGCUUGGGAGUCAUGGCUCUGGGUUCAAUGUAACUUCUCCACUUACAAGAGGUAAGAACUUUCUAAGUCUCUUGGACUCCAUUUAUCCAACCGGAAAUUCUUCCAAAUACAUAUUCUUAGUGACCCUCAUAAAAAAAGGGAAAAAAUCUCUGUGAGGAAAGCAAAGUAUGGGUUACCGUUCCCAUUUAAAAGAGAAAAAAUUAAGUGAUGUGCCUAAGGCCACCAAGUUAGUAAGUGGUGGAGAAAGGAUGGAACCCGGGUCUUCUUUUCUGGUUCCGGUCACCCAGCCCUAGCCCCAUGAACACACACAGGUAUCACACCUAUAUGCAUAGGUGUGAUUGCCAAAGCAUCUCACAUUCAUUGUCUUAUUUGAGUCUCAAAAUGAACCAGAUGAGGAAGACAGUGGAUAUAUUUAGGGUGAGUCAUACUCAUGUCUUGUUUAUCCAACACUAGAGGGAUGAGUGUCCAGAAUUAGCCACGAACACAGUCAGUGAACACAAUUUACUGGCCAUCCACUAAAUGAAAUUCUCUUAUUUUUGCAUAGCCCUUUGCCGUUUAAAAUGCACUUCCAAAUAUAAUAUUGGAAGGUCUCAUUUGACCUUUACAACUCCGGGAGGAAGUGGGGCAGUGCAGAUAGUGUGGGUUUUACAGAGGAGGGUGGGGCUGUGCUGAGGACUGGGCUGACUUGCCUGAGCUCACCCAGCUGAGGGCCAGAAGCGCAGCUCAAACUCAGGCUCUCUAGUGCUAGACCAGCGCCCUUCCCAGGAUACCCUGGGAUACCCUGUGCCUUGAGCGAUGAACUAACCUAAGGGUUUUCAGAACUCCUGACGGCUUGCUGGAGCCACUCCAGGGCUUCUCCAGGAGGUUUGUGUGUACAGGAGGCGGAGAGGAGAUAAUUGUAAACUGCCCUAUAAUAUU
rnacentral:lncRNA from 1 species